CUUCGGUUUCUAUGUUGGUAAACCAACUGAAAGGGUGCACACUGCAGGGUGUUGUCUGAACAGGAAUAAAGACAAGGGUGGUGAUUUACUGCCCUGGAGGGUGUUGUCUGAACAGGAAUAAAGGUUGGUGAUUUACUGCCCUGGAGGGUGUUGUCUGAACAGGAAUAAAGACAAGGAUGGUGAUUUACUGCCCCCUGGAGGGUGUUGUCUGAACAGGAAUAAAGACAAGGAUGGUGAUUUACUGCCCUGGAGGGUGUUGUCUGAAAAGGUUUAAAGACAAGGGUGGUGAUUUACUGCCCCCUGGAGGGUGUUGUCUGAACAGGUUUAAAGACAAGGGUGGUGAUUUACUGCCCCCUGGAGGGUGUUGUCUGAACAGGAAUAAAGACAAGGAUGGUGAUUUACUGCCCCCUGGAGGGUGUUGUCUGAACAGGAAUAAAGACAAGGAUGGUGAUUUACUGCCCCCUGGAGGGUGUUGUCUGAACAGGAAUAAAGGUUGGGGAUUUACUGCCCUGGAGGGUGAUGUCUGAACAGGAAUAAAGGUUGGGGAUUUACUGCCCCCUGGAGGGUGUUGUCUGAACAGGAAUAAAGGUUGGGGAUUUACUGCCCCCUGGAGGGUGUUGUCUGAACAGGAAUAACGGUUGGGGAUUUACUGCCCCCUGGAGAGUGUUGUCUGAACAGGAAUAAAGGUUGGGGAUUUACUGCCCCCUGGAGGGUGUUGUCUGAACAGGAAUAACGGUUGGGGAUUUACUGCCCCCUGGAGAGUGUUGUCUGAACAGGAAUAAAGGUUGGGGAUUUACUGCCCCCUGGAGGGUGUUGUCUGAACAGGAAUAAAGACAAGGAUGGUGAUUUACUGCCCCCUGCAGGGUGUUGUCUGAACAGGUUUAAAGACAAGGUUGGGGAUUUACUGCCCCCUGGAGGGUGUUGUCUGAACAGGAAUAAAGGUUGGGGAUUUACUGCCCCCUGGAGGGUGUUGUCUGAACAGGAAUAAAGGUUGGGGAUUUACUGCCCUGGAGGGUGUUGUCUGAACAGGAAUAACGGUUGGGGAUUUACUGCCCUGGAGGGUGUUGUCUGAACAGGAAUAAAGGUUGGGGAUUUACUGCCCCCUGGAGGGUGUUGUCUGAACAGGAAUAAAGGUUGGGGAUUUACUGCCCCCUGGAGGGUGUUGUCUGAACAGGAAUAAAGGUUGGGGAUUUACUGCCCCCUGGAGGGUGUUGUCUGAAAAAGGUUGGGGAUUUACUGCCCUGGAGGAUGAUGUCUGAACAGGAAUAAAGGUUGGGGAUUUACUGCCCCUGGAGGAUGAUGUCUGAACAGGCAUGAUGCCCCUGGAGUUAUGGAACGUUUCCUCACCAGUAUAAUUAAUUGUCCCUCGUUGAUGACCCGGAUGGAAUCACGUGAUCCUUCUUUAACCCGUAGGAAGUCCCACCCAGUGGAUGACUUCAAAACUGGUGUACGCCCCCAAAGGCCCUGU